rnacentral:rRNA from 1 species
AUUGAACGCUGGCGGCAGGCUUAACACCUGCAAGUCGAGCGGAGCGAGGGUGCUUGCACCUUAGCUUAGCGGCGGACGGGUGAGUAAUGCUUAGGAAUCUGCCUAUUAGUGGGGGACAACAUUCCGAAAGGAAUGCUAAUACCGCAUACGCCCUACGGGGGAAAGCAGGGGAUCUUCGGACCUUGCGCUAAUAGAUGAGCCUAAGUCGGAUUAGCUAGUUGGUGGGGUAAAGGCCUACCAAGGCGACGAUCUGUAGCGGGUCUGAGAGGAUGAUCCGCCACACUGGGACAGAGACACGGCCCAGACUCCUACGGGAGGCAGCAGUGGGGAAUAUUGGACAAUGGGCGGAAGCCUGAUCCAGCCAUGCCGCGUGUGUGAAGAAGGCCUUUUGGUUGUAAAGCACUUUAAGCGAGGAGGAGGCUACUUAGAUUAAUACUCUGGGAUAGUGGACGUUACUCGCAGAAUAAGCACCGGCUAACUCUGUGCCAGCCGCCGCCGUAAGAC